rnacentral:lncRNA from 1 species
UUGCAGGUUGAGGCUUAGGAAAAGAAACUAGACCAGGGUCAAGCACAGCUGGUGGUCAUUCAGUCCUCACAGUGGUCUCACUUCUGAGUGUGUGCGUCUCAGUACCACCCUCAACCUUCAAAGAGCCAGGCUGGAGGACCAGGACCUCUUGUCGGUCAUCCUCGUGCAUUAAGAAACAGCAGUGUCUAAACCAUAGGCUUAAUAAACACAGUUUUGAAUUUCUCUACUUUGCUUAACACUUCUUUUAUCUCAAAGUAAUUUACAAAUACCACAGGUCACGUGCUAGACAGAUGGAUGCUGUUUGUGUCAGACUCAUGUACUUGGAGCAUGAAUUAAAUCAAAGACCCACAGGAGAUCACUGGUAUACUCAUUUCUUUUGAAAUUUUAUCUUAAUUAACUUUUUAUUAUAUAGGGUAUGACAAGGCUAGUUCCAUACAUGUAUUCAAUGUGCAUGGGACAAAUUUCCCAGCAUCCCCCACUACAGCCCCAGGUAUUUGUUUUCAUGAGACCCAUCCAGUUCUUUCAAGGUUUCUUUGUGAGAUUUUGCAUGUUAGAGCAGUGACCCUAUUUACUUAGCAAAGGUACUAUUAGUUCAUUAUUAGUUCUGUAACUUGGAUUUGAAGUCCUUCAUAACCACCGCAGUCUUGAAGAGCAUUUGUGCUUUAUCUGACUGGCUAGGGAAAAAGUUCAGUCUUACCAAAAAGAACUGUUCUGAGCUCUUGGGUCAGGGUGUGAAUGUUUUUCAUGUGACUUUCAGUUGGGUCUUGCUCAGAGAACGUAGUGGUCAAAGUUGGGUUCACAUCUUGGGCAUAAUUUGCAAAAGUGAAGUUUGUAGGUGCAGGGUGGUUCCGUGAAGACAUGAAGAUGAAUGGACGUAAUGUUUAUCUUUGAAGUCCUGUUUCCAGAGGACACUGGGGCAAGGAACAAACGCUCUUCUGUUCUGAAGCAUCCCAGUGUUUUCCCACGUUGGGUCCACGAGACUGAGUAGAGGGCUUUGAGAUGCCAUAGCUCCAGGAUACAUUGUUCCCUCCUUUUUAGGAAUCGGGUAUCCCCAGUACUGGGGUCAGGCUCCUCAUCACGCCUCUGAGGUAGGAAGUGCACGGAGCCCAGGCUUACCCACAAAGCCAAGCCACAGCUGAGCAUUUCCCACUGUGGAAAGUCCUUCCUGUGUUUGUCACCCAUGGACUCAGCCCUUAGUGUCUGGGUCAGUUGAAUGCCUAUCCAGGGAAAGCCAGUGGUUUGGCAGAGAAAACUGGAUCUAAGUGGGAAUAAAAUUUGUUGACCUCUGCCUCAGAGGGUCACAUUUUUCAUUUAUAUUUCACACGAGUCAUCAUAAAUUACAGUGCUUAUAGAUAAAGAAGACUUCCUCCUUCCUCCCUCUCCAGACACCACAUAAUGGAAAUUGCAAGUUUCUACAGAAAGGCCGAUACUGCUGCCUCCUCCUCUUCUUCCUCCUCUUCCUCUUCCUCCUCCUCUUUCUCCCCCUCCUUUUUUUUUUUUUUUUUUUUUUUUUUUGUAAACUAAACAAAAUGUCAGUCUCUGAUGAGACUUGCUUCCUGCCAGAAUUCCCACUGGUCUACUGUCACAGUUUCCACAAAGGGCCAAGAUGAAGGAGGGAAACCCAUUUUGAACCCUGUGCUCUUCUGUAUUAUGGGAAAGCUGCUUUCUGCCUCAGGAUGGGGAGAACUGUUAAGUUCUAAACCUUAGUGAUAGGCACGUAAGACCUACUGGAUUCUAACUGCUGAAGGAGAAUGUCGAUUAAGGCAAGAUUUGUUCUGCUGCUGCGAUCAGACAUAUAAAACUUUGCAAAGUUUUGUUGUUCAUUUCCUGUUUAAGAAAAAAAAAAUCACCCUGUCCUAUGAACUCCCAGAAGAUGAGAAGAUUUUCCUCAGAGAAAAUUCAGUUCUGGGAAGAGCCCUCCAUAGAGGUCAUAACCUACAAAAUUCUUGAAGGGAAGUUUCAGUGAGAAGAGGGCAGGGACGGUUGGGAAGCUCUGAGUGCUGCAGUGGGUGACUGGUGUGUGAGCCCCUGCUUUCUUGAGCUGCAGCCUUCAUGGGACGUGUAACACACAUCUGCAGAAAUUUUGGGGGAAAUU